UACAGAGGGUGCAAGCGUUAAUCGGAAUUACUGGGCGUAAAGGGUGCGUAGGCGGUUAGAUAAGUUAGAUGUGAAAUCCCCGGGCUUAACCUGGGAAUGGCAUUUAAAACUGUAUAGCUAGAGUAGAGUAGAGGGAAGUGGAAUUUCCGGUGUAGCGGUGAAAUGCGUAGAUAUCGGAAAGAACACCAGUGGCGAAGGCGGCUUUCUGGACUCAUACUGACGCUGAGGCACGAAAGCAUGGGGAGCAAACAGG
rnacentral:rRNA from 1 species